AAGUCGUAACAAGGUAACCGUAGGUGAACCUGCGGUUGGAUCAUUAACAAAAUUGGUAGUCUUUUUUUUUUAUAAAAAAAAGCUAUUUUAACACCAAUGUGAACUUGUAUUAUUGUUUCUUUUUCUUUUUUUUUCUUGAUUAAAUAAAUUUUUUUGGUUUGACCAAAAAGUUUUUUUAUUUUGAGGAGGGAAAGAAAAAACCAUUUUAAACUUAAAAAGAAUUUAUAUAUUUUGACCUUUAAAUAAAAGUGUUUUAUACUUUAAAAAAAAAAUAAUUUAAAAAAACAACUUUUGGCAACGGAUCUCUAGGCUCUU
rnacentral:misc_RNA from 1 species